CCUACGGGAGGCAGCAGUGAGGAAUAUUGGUCAAUGGACGAGAGUCUGAACCAGCCAAGUAGCGUGAAGGAUGACUGCCCUAUGGGUUGUAAACUUCUUUUAUAUGGGAAUAAAAUGUUCCACGUGUGGGAUUUUGUAUGUACCAUAUGAAUAAGGAUCGGCUAACUCCGUGCCAGCAGCCGCGGUAAUACGGAGGAUCCGAGCGUUAUCCGGAUUUAUUGGGUUUAAAGGGAGCGUAGGUGGAUUGUUAAGUCAGUUGUGAAAGUUUGCGGCUCAACCGUAAAAUUGCAGUUGAAACUGGCAGUCUUGAGUACAGUAGAGGUGGGCGGAAUUCGUGGUGUAGCGGUGAAAUGCUUGAAUAUCACGAAGAACUCCGAUUGCGAAGGCAGUUCACUGGACUGCAACUGACACUGAGGCUCGAUAGUGUGGGUAUCAAACAGGAUUAGAUACCCUAGUAGUC
rnacentral:rRNA from 1 species